UGAGUACGAGACGCUAAGGCGUCGAAGUAGUGUAUGUCAUACUUCCAAGAAAAGCUUGCACUGUCAUUCAUAAAAAAUGCCUGUACCAUAACCGACACAGGUGGGUAGGUAGAGUAUACUAAGGGGCGCGAGAUAACUCUCUCUAAGGAACUCGGCAAAAUAACUCCGUAACUUCGGGAGAAGGAGUGCCUUAUUUAUAUAAGGUUGCAAUAACAAGAUCCAAGCAACUGUUUACCAAAAACACAGGUCUCCGCUAAGUCGCAAGACGAUGUAUGGGGGCUGACGCCUGCCCAGUGCCAGAAGGUUAAAGAAGUUGGUUAGCAAUAGCGAAGCUAGUAACUGAAGCCCUGGUGAACGGCGGCCGUAACGAUAACGGUCCUAAGGUAGCGAAAUUCCUUGUCGGGUAAGUUCCGACCCGCACGAAAGGCGUAAUGAUUUGGAUACUGUCUCGGAGAGGGACUCGGUGAAAUAGACUUGUCUGUGAAGAUGCGGACUACCUGCACCAGGACAGAAAGACCCUAUGAAGCUUUACUGUAACUUGAAAUUGAAAUUGGACUUUAUUCGCGCAGUAUAGGUGGGAGGCAUUGAAAAUAAUCUUGCGGGAAUAUUGGAGCCAUCAGUGAGAUACCACUCUUGUAAUGUUAGAUUUCUAACUUUGAAUCAUUAUCUGGUCAAAGAACAGUUUCAGGCGGGCAGUUUGACUGGGGCGGUCGCCUCCCAAAUGGUAACGGAGGCGUACAAAGGUUUCCUCUGAACGGGUAGAAAUCGUAUCUAGAGUGUAAAGGCAAAAGGAAGCUUGACUGUGAGACCUACAAGUCGAGCAGGGACGAAAGUCGGUCUUAGUGAUCUGACGGUACUGAGUGGAAAGGCCGUCACUCAACGGAUAAAAGUUACUCUAGGAUAACAGGCUGAUCUCCCCCAAGAGUUCACAUCGACGGGGAGGUUUGGCACCUCGAUGUCGGCUCAUCGCAUCCUGGGGCGGUAGUACGUCCCAAGGGUUGGGCUGUUCGCCCAUGAAAGCGGUACGCGAGCUGGGUUCAGAACGUCGUGAGACAGUUCGGUCCAUAUCCGGUGUAGGCGUUAGAAUAUUGAGAGGAGCCUUCUUUAGUACGAGAGGACCGAGAAGGACAUACCUCUGGUGUACCAGUUAUCGUGCCAACGGUAAACGCUGGGUAGCUAUGUAUGGAGUGGAUAACCGCUGAAAGCAUCUAAGUGGGAAGCCCACCUCAAGAUGAGUAUUCUCAAAAAA
rnacentral:rRNA from 1 species